GAUCUCAGCCAAGCUCAGGUCGUUACCAGCCAUUGCCCAAGAUCUAGAGACACAAAACAGCUGCAGGGCGGCUUCUCAUGUAUGCUGGGCAGUCGGGUUGGGCUGUGUCCUUCCUCUGAGAUGAGGCCUAUGAACAAAUCCUUGAAGAUGAGAAGAGUCAGGAACCAUGAGCAUGCACCAUGGGGGCAGUGAGGAGAUGGAUCACAGUCUCGGUGAGGAUGGGCACAGCCUACUUCUCUCCUUCACUCAGCUGUGGAUGGACCUCACUUUCUCAAUCCAAGUCUCCUGUUGAGGGAGUGUCUGGCUUGGACAAAUGGCGAGAACUUGAGUGAUGUGGUCUGUGAUAGGGUUACCUCUUCUUAUGAGUUACUCUUAUUGCUGCCUCUCAAACUCUCAUGUGUCCCACGUGUGAGAGGACACUGAUGCCAUGGGGAGCCUUCAGGGCUGAUUCAAUGCAUGGGAUUGGCUGUAAACGAAGGAAUGGAAUUACAGGAUAGUUACCAUUUAAUUACCGUGCUUGUUAAUCAUGUUCUGUUCACAGCAUGUCACUGCAUGAGAACUUACCAGAUGCAGUGAGAUGAGCCUUUCAAGUUCACAUGCUAGACUUUGGUCUCAAAAGUGCUGUCUUUCCAACCCUUGUGUCAACGUGGCAUGCAUUUCGUUAAGAGAUUGCAUCCAAUGAAAACCCAAGUUCAGGCCGGUGGAUGGACCCAUCAGAAUUAUAUGACUAUAAGGUUUUUUUUUUUUCUCUUGCAACCCAGGGUCGUUUCCACUGGUUUAUAGACUUGUUUCUCCCAAAAGCAAUGAGGUCCAGUUUUAAUAGAUAGCACGAGCAUGGAAACAGAAAGAUCUGGAGCUAAAGCUUGCAUCACAAAAUGAUGAAUGUUUAUGAAUGUGACUCUUACGGAGUAUCACCUGUGUAGCCGGGGUGGUGGUGGGUGUAGUGAUAGGGCUCACUCAAGGCUUUCUAAGAUGCCAGUGACCCUUCAUCUGCUACAAAGUUACCUGGUGGACCACGUAAGGUCCAGCCUGGCGUCUGCAGUCUGUGGUGGGUAUUCAGGAUGCUCUGCUGCAGAAAGGGUUUUGCACCAUGAGGAAGCUCACUUAUCUGUGUGUUUUGUUCUCGUGACUUUGUGACCUCUGGCUUGAUUUAACUUCUAGCUGGCAAGGGGAGAUGGUGGAGUAUAAGUGUCUCUGCCCAUUGUUCAGUUACCUCCUUUUUGCCUGAAGGGAGAUAGAGUUCUUAGCUCUGUGGAGAUGAGACUCGAGGAACACUCUAGGUCUGGAGUGAGAUUUCUCUUCACACUGGGCUCCAUAACAGGCAUUACCUUAAGGCAUGAGGAGGGCAUGGUGCAUCUACACUGGCCUGCCCUGGCACAGACCAUGGGGAAGGUGGCUUCUGGUGGAUAGAGUCAUAGCAAUAUUUGUGUUAUAAGGGAUCCCUUACUGCCUUUAAAAUAAUAAAAAAAAAUCACCC
rnacentral:lncRNA from 1 species